CCUCCCGUCUCUACAGUUGAGUUCUCACAUAAAUAAGAGUCUAAAUUCAAACUCAGUUAAUAUUGAAGGCAUUCAUAUAAUACCAGAAGAGUUGUUUGAAGUGUUAGUUGAGUCCAAAGUAGAUCCAGAUGUGCUCACAGACAACAACAACAUAGGGAAAGUUUGCCAAACAUAUUGUUCACAGCAAACCACUGUUCCGCCCGAUUCACACAAUACUGGCCUUGAAUUAAACAAUAGGACGACUCCCGACAAACAAUACAAAGUGUUUCCGUAUUUAUCAACCAAACCAUUCAAUGCUGAACCACACAUCAUUAAAAAAGGUUUGGCACAAAAACAAAAGACCAGAUCUUCACUGUUUACUAUAGUUGGACAUAAAAUAACAAACAGUACCGACAAGACUGCCAUUGACUGCUUAAGAGAAGAGUCAACAAACACGUCGAGUGAUUAUAAGUGUUGUUCCGGUACUUUGUUUAGUGUCUCGGCUUCACCUAAGCUAACAAAUUGGAGACAAAAUAACUUUGAUAUAAAUAAAU